AUCGCUUCUCGGCCUUUUGGCUAAGAUCAAGUGUAGAGUCUAUACCACAAAUAACUGGUGUGUUGGUAAUUUUUCAGGCAUUUUCUUGUGUGUGGGAAUGAUUUCUUUCAUAACUAAUCUCUCCUCUUUGAGGGAUACCAAAACCUCUCUACUCCCAAGGGGAACAGAAG
ensembl:snRNA U2 U2 spliceosomal RNA